AAGAACGGUGCAAGCUGAGCAGAGGUUUUGGUUCAAAAAACCACAUUAAAACUUUUAGAACUUCUCCUACGUCCUGUUAAUUAUGUUAUAGCUUAUAAUUAUUUAUCUUUUUAUCACUCUGCCUAUUCAGUUCAUUUAUUUUUAAUAUUAUUCGUUUUGCACUUUCCAUUGUUGAGUGAGACCGGGAACAGAGUGUGAUGCGGGAGAAUUGAAAGUUCCAGAAACAAUUCAUUACCGUUUUGACUUGAAUGAUGUCUGAGUUACAAAAAGAGAUUAAGCAAACCUUACUGUGAGUAAUACCAGGCCUUCCUGACGAGCCACUCAAUCAGUCAGUUGAGAAAUGUGUAGGCUGAGGAGUAGAAGAUUUAAUGUACGUGAAAGAAGAGGACAUCUUAAGAGUUCAUACAACCUGUUCAGUGCCAAACUGUUCACAUGAACAAAGAAACAGCAUUUUGGUUCAGUAAUUAGUUUGACCUAUAGGUCUCCUCAAAAUUCACCACAAAUGAGCUCCUCAGGCUCCUCAGUAAGAAAAUGGAUGGACUCACGCUUCAAGCAGAUGAACACUCAACUUGCCUGACAGUCCUUGCAUUAUAAUUCUUGGUCAAACUCUAAGCAACCAACACAACUCAGCUUUGUCUGUGGCCGUACUGCUGUGUUUGCUUCAUGUGUGGACACUUUUUCUUUGGUGUCGUUUCUUGUGACUGAAGACAGAGAAAGCAAAAUUAAAGUUAGAAAUAUUCUUUAUUCAUACACACCAGGCAAAGGUUAAAUGACAGAGAAACACAGCCCUAGGACACUGCCCUUCAUCUGCACCGAGGGGCCCGUGUCCCCCAUUCGUGUAGGGCUUUAAGACUUUAGUUACAUAAACAUUAUCAAAUAAUCUAAGGGUGGAGUACAUCUGUUGGGGCCUGAUAAGUCCACACCCGUUAGACGCCCAAGAAGCAGCACUUGUUUUUGUACACUGUAAACAUGCAGGGUCUGCAUGACUCCUACCACACACCCCAUAGAACAUGCUUUCUGUCACAUACUUCAGAUUUGUCAAGCACAAGUUAUUGACUGGUAUUUUUUAUUUUUCCACACAUGUUAUAAUUUCAACCUCCAAUAUAGGAAGAGACUGCAAGCACCCUCGAUUUUGUUCAAAGGUAAAACAUUGGCUUAUUUUCCAUACAUACAUUUUCAUUAAAACGGGCUUACACUUCCAUCAGACUUUAUUACACACUGCCUACACCUGUUUGCACCUUCCUCUUAGACACACAGUAAGCUUAUUCUCCUUCUCAUACCCUAUUAAAUUUUUGUGACACACUAUUAACCACCCUGACACACACCAUGAUAUUUUUUCUAUAAAUUAAAUUGGUUAAAAGUAAAUAUUGGCAAAUUCAGUUAUGUACUUGAAUCUUUUUAAGAGAAUGCAAAUUGUUGAGAGUGCAGGAACUAAAGAACUGUUCUGAAGAUGUGUUAUGGCUUCACUUUCCCACAUGAACCUGAAGAGGAACCAUUGUAGUCAUGACAAAGUGAAUGAUUUUUUUUUAUUUUAUAAAUAAUUAAGUACAUGUGUUUUUCUUUCUUUUUGU